rnacentral:lncRNA from 1 species
UGGGGAUGGACGUGGUUGUCAAGAUGACUUAGAUGCACGUGCUGAUGGAAGACCACGAUGGACGAGCUGAUGGGAUGAUUAAGAUGCAUCAAGCUAGCUGAAAUGGAUAGGAUGGACUAAUUGACGGGAUGGUUGAAAUGAACCGAAUUGACAGAAUGGUCAAGAUGACAAGCUGGCUGGGAUGAAUGAGAUAAAUGGGAUGAACAGACUGACGACUGGACUGUGCUAACGAAAAGGACAAGAUGGACGUUAGACAAGUUGACGUGAUAGGCGGAACGAACAGGCUAGUUGAACUUAUGGAAUGAUAGGAAUGGACAAGAUGAAGAAGUUAAGGGAAUGACCGAGAUGAAUUGGGCUGAUGGGAUGAGUGGGAUAAAUGGGCUAACAGGAUGAGCGGGUUAGAUGAGCUAGCGGGAUGGACAGGUUGUCCUCGUUGUCAGGAUGGACCGGGCUGGUCGGGAUAGACAAGCUGACGGGAUGACUGGGCUAGUCGGGGUGACAAGAUGACCUUUUUAGACGAGGUGGACAAACUAAUGUGAUGGUCGUGAUGGAUCGUAUUGGCUGGGAUGGACAAGAUGACGAGAUGACCUCGAUGAAUCGGGAUGACUAAAAUGGACAGACUGACGGAGUGACUAGGAUGAACGGUAUGGCCUGACUGAUGGAAUGGUCGGGAUGAAUAGGGUGACGUGAUAGUCAAACUUGCUGGGAUGGACAUGCUUGCCAAGAUGUUUGUGAUGGACUAGACUGACAGGAUUGUUGGACUAAUCUAGUUGACAUAAUGAUGGAUGGGGUGACCAAACUCGUCGGACUGACUGAACUUACAAAUAUUAAACUUAGUUAUACGAAAUAUAUUUGGUUAAAACCCUUAGAUGGUAUUCAUAUUUGUAUUGGAGUCUUAGUUCGGUUUUCAUAUUUUAAGUAAUCUCAAUUGAGUCCUUAUUUUUUUAAAAUGUGAUGCAAUUUAGUGUCAUGUGUCAGUGGUUUUUUUAAUUUCUAAAAGAAAUUAUUUGUAUUUUAAAAUUGUGCCACAUGUCAAAUAAGAAUCCAGUCAUGUGCCAGAGAUAGUGUGUGAUGUGGUAGAGAUAGUGUGACAUGACAAUGACAGUGUCACGUGUCACU